UGGGGAAUUUUGGACAAUGGGCGCAAGCCUGAUCCAGCAAUGCCGCGUGCAGGAAGAAGGCCUUCGGGUUGUAAACUGCUUUUGUCAGGGAAGAAAUCUUCUGGGCUAAUACCCCGGGAGGAUGACGGUACCUGAAGAAUAAGCACCGGCUAACUACGUGCCAGCAGCCGCGGUAAUACGUAGGGUGCGAGCGUUAAUCGGAAUUACUGGGCGUAAAGCGUGCGCAGGCGGCUUUGCAAGACAGAUGUGAAAUCCCCGGGCUCAACCUGGGAGCUGCAUUUGUGACUGCAAGGCUAGAGUACGGCAGAGGGGGAUGGAAUUCCGCGUGUAGCAGUGAAAUGCGUAGAUAUGCGGAGGAACACCAAUGGCGAAGGCAAUCCCCUGGGCCUGUACUGACGCUCAUGCACGAAAGCGUGGGGAGCAAACAGGAUUAGAUACCCUGGUAGUCCACGCCCUAAACGAUGUCAACUGGUUGUUGGACGGCUUGCUGUUCAGUAACGAAGCUAACGCGUGAAGUUGACCGCCUGGGGAGUACGGCCGCAAGGUUG
rnacentral:rRNA from 1 species